UGCCAGCAGCCGCGGUAAUACGUAGGUGGCAAGCGUUAUUCGGAUUUAUUGGGCGUAAAGGGUCCGUAGGGGGGUUGUUAAGUCUGAUGUGAAAGCCCGCGGCUCAACCGCGGAACUGCAUUGGAAACUGGCGAUCUAGAGCAUAGGAGAGGUGAGUGGAAUUCCUGGUGUAGCGGUGGAAGGCGUAGAUAUCAGGAGGAACACCGGAGGCGAAGGCAGAUCACUGGACUAUUGCUGAACCUGAGGGACGAAAGCUAGGGGAGAGAACAGGAUUAGAUA
rnacentral:rRNA from 1 species